rnacentral:rRNA from 1 species
CAGUAGCCGCGGGAAUACGAAGGGGGCUAGCGUUGUUCGGAUUUACUGGGCGUAAAGCGCACGUAGGCGGCUUUGUAAGUUAGAGGUGAAAGCCCGGAGCUCAACUCCGGAAUUGCCUUUAAGACUGCAGAGCUAGCAGGUGAGAGAGGUGAGUGGAAUUCCGAGUGUAGAGGUGAAAUUCGUAGAUAUUCGGAAGAACACCAGUGGCGAAGGCGGCUCACUGGCUCAUACUGGACGCUGAGGUGCGAAAGCGUGGGGAGCAAACAGGAUUAGAUACCCGGGUAGUCCCUGUCUCUUAUAC